AUUGAACGCUGGCGGCAGGCCUAACACAUGCAAGUCGAACGGUAGCACAGAGAGCUUGCUCUCGGGUGACGAGUGGCGGACGGGUGAGUAACGUCUGGGAAACUGCCCGAUGGAGGGGGAUAACUACUGGAAACGGUAGCUAAUACCGCAUAACGUCGCAAGACCAAAGUGGGGGACCUUCGGGCCUCACACCAUCGGAUGUGCCCAGAUGGGAUUAGCUAGUAGGUGGGGUAAUGGCUCACCUAGGCGACGAUCCCUAGCUGGUCUGAGAGGAUGACCAGCCACACUGGAACUGAGACACGGUCCAGACUCCUACGGGGGGCAGCAGUGGGGAAUAUUUCACAAUGGGCGCAAGCCUGAUGCAGCCAUGCCGCGUGUAUGAAGAAGGCCUUCGGGUUGUAAAGUACUUUCAGCGGGGAGGAAGGCGGUGAAGUUAAUAACUUCACCGAUUGACGUUACCCGCAGAAGAAGCACCGGCUAACUCCGUGCCAGCAGCCGCGGUAA
rnacentral:rRNA from 1 species